ensembl:lncRNA TMEM191A transmembrane protein 191A (pseudogene)
CUCAUUGCCUCCCCGUCCCUGUCUCCCCUGACACUCGUUCCUCCAGAAGCCCGGUAAACCCCGUCCUUACGAGCCCCGCCCCUAGCUCUUCUACUACGGAGGGGAACUGCAGAGCCAGAAGAGCACGGAGCAGCAACUCGCAGCCCAAUUGGUGACGCUGCAGAAUGAACUGGAGCUGGCGGAGACCAAAUGCGCCUUGCAGGAGGAGAAGCUGCAGCAGGACGCGCUGCAGACAGCGGAGGCCUGGGCCAUAUUCCAGGAGCAGACCGUAGUCCUGCAGGUGCGGCCCCACUCAGACGCCAAGGUGCCUCCCGCCUCUCCUCCCCCAGACCUGGGGCGGUAAGUCUCCCAACCCACCGCCAGGACGCCUCCCCGAGGCCUCAGUCCGCACUCUCACCCGCUCCAGGAGGUGCAGGUGAAGGUGAUGGAGGCUGCGGAGGAGCUGGACGCCUGGCAGAGUGGCCGGGAACUGUAAGGGAGUUGGGCUUGCGGGCGCGGCGGGGCACUGUGGGGCCGGGCCGGGCUGGGCUCCCACCUGCAUGCCUGUCCCCGCAGGUGUGACGGGCAGCUUCGCAGAGUGCAGUACAGCACCGAGUCGCUCAUGGAGGAGAUGGCCAGGGCGGACCGAGAGACGCGGCUGUUCGGCGGUCCUCGCGCGCUGGCCAUCAGGCGCUGCUGACGCUGCCGCUCCUCUUCCUGGGGCUGUCGCUGCUCUGGACGGUGCUGUUGGACCCCGGCGCCGUCUCCGCGUGGCUCUGGAGCCUCACCUCGGAGACGACGCUGCGCCGCCUGCGCUACACGCUGUCCCCGCUGCUGGAGCUGCGCGCUAACGGGCUGCUGCCAACCUAAGUGCAGCGCCCCGCGCCUGGCUCCAGGUGGACUCCAGGGCACCGGCUUUAUUUCUGGUGCACUCCUCUCCUGAGAGUGUAGACCAAGGUCGCCUAAUAAACUCCUCAAGGGAUGAA